rnacentral:rRNA from 1 species
UACGGGGGGAGCAAGCGUUGUUCGGAUUUACUGGGCGUAAAGGGCGCGUAGGCGGCCACCGCAAGUCAAUUGUGAAAUCUCCGGGCUUAACUCGGAAAGGUCAACUGAUACUGUGCGACUAGAGUGCAGAAGGGGCAACUGGAAUUCUCGGUGUAGCGGUGAAAUGCGUAGAUAUCGAGAGGAACACCAGUGGCGAAGGCGAGUCCCUGGACAACACCUGACACUGAGGCACGAAAGCCGGGGGGAGCAAACAGG